AAGACUAUACUUUCAGGGAUCAUUUCUAUAGUUUCUAACUUGGAAGUGUUUUUCUAAAGUGUUGAGUCUCCCUAACCACGAUGAUGAGUGAUAAUGUGGUCCUCUGAGCGUGAAUCGGGUAGAAGUCUGUUAUUUCAUUACGGAUAUCUAUCAUUGAUGAACGUUCAUUGAUUCUUCUAGAAUCUAUGAGGAGGAUUGCAUGAUCCGAGUGGU